ensembl:lincRNA 4930512P04Rik RIKEN cDNA 4930512P04 gene
AAAGCUUUGUGGAUUAUCUUGGAACGAGAUCCUCUAUGCCUGGUCAAGCCUUGAGCUGACUGCAAACUUUAUGAGACCUUCAGCUAGGAAUACCCAGCUUAGCCACAUUACUGGGAUGGGGCUGUAGCUGGUUCUUUUGGAGUGCUUUUCCUGUAAGCAUAGGGCUGCGGAUUCUAUCACCAACAAUCAGUGAACCCAGCAUAGAAGUGGAUGCCUAGAUCCUGGCAUGAAGGAGAAUCAGGAAUUCAAGGACAAAUCUGAGAGCAGCCUGGGUGUGGGUGGAUUCUUCAGGCCACUGAACAUCAGGCUAUUUAUUACAUGGCCUAAGUAACUAUUAGACAAGGUAAAGGAGAAAGCAGGGGGCACACAUGUGAGGGUUACUGUAGCUUUUCUGUAAAUUUCAAAAUAAAAUGUUAAAAAUAAA